rnacentral:rRNA from 1 species
AGUUCGGUCCCUAUCCGGCGUGGGCGUAGGAUAUCUGAGAGGAGCUGUCCUUAGUACGAGAGGACCGGGAUGGACGGGCCGCUGGUGCAUCGGUUAGACUGCCAAGUCUACGGCCGAGUAGCCAAGCCCGGAAGGGAUAAACGCUGAAGGCAUCUAAGCGUGAAGCCCCCCUUAAGAUGAGAUAUCCCAUUCGAAAGAAGUAAACCCCCUUGAAGACGACGAGGUAGAUAGGGCAGAGGUGGAAGUGCAGCAAUGCAUGG